rnacentral:lncRNA from 1 species
UGCAAUUUCAUAAUUCUAUUUUGUAAAAAUUGAAAAGUUAAUCUCUCUUAUUUAAUGUCAAAUUUUUGUGAAGGUAAUUUAAUUAGAUAAAAAUGCCGAUAAAUUAUAACAAUUAAAUUAAUAAUUAAAAGUUACUACAAUAACUAAAAUAUACGUGUUUUUAAAAAAGUUCUCUGAUGUCAACUUCCAGUAAUAUUGAGGACAACAAUGAGUGUUCAACAGAUAGCCGCAACACUAGAAAAGUCCGUUUCAAAGACAAAGGAGUGGAUAGCGUAGAAAUGUCAAUAGACCGGCCUCUACUGUGUCAUGGAAAGAUAUGCUAUUGCGUAAAUCCGUUGAGCCUGCGAAGGAACCAGGGGAAGAUGGCGGAACAUUUCACUAAGUUUCCCGCGGUUGCUUUCUCAGAUCGGGUUCAGCAAUACCUGUUAAAAGGAUAUGAAAACCACGAUACUGGUGAAGUUUUGGGGUCGAAGCACUGGUUAUGCUACUCUGCAAAAUAGGGUCUCGAGUCUAUGGCGACCCUCAAAACCGUUUCAACUUAUGGCUGUGGAGAAUGGGUAUUUUUUCGUAUAAAAUUUCAGAGGAAAGAAGAUUAUGAGAGAGUGCUCACCCAAGGACCUUGGAUUCUCUUCGGCCAAUAUCUUAUGGUUCAAAUGUGGACAUUGGAUUUUAAUUCAUUCCAACUCUUCCCGUCGGUUGCUAUGGCAUGGAUCCGACUGCCAGGACUUCCCGGUUUUCUGAACAAUAAAAAAAUUCUUGGGGAGAUUGGCAGAUUAAUAGGGAAGGUCGCAAAACUUGAUUUCAAUACGGACAAUAGACUGAGGGGACGGUUUGCUAGAAUGACAGUAUUCAUAAAUUUGGAUAAACCCCUAACUUCUUAGAUCCUAGUCAACGGGAAAUUAAAGAGAAUCGAGUAUGAAUCCUUACAGUCUAUUUGCUUCUCUUAUAGAAGGUACGGCCAUGUUAAGGAGCUUUACUCGUUCUCGUCUGACGAUAAAGAUUUUACCGGAGUUAAUGAGGGGUCAAAAGUGGUUGAAUCAGCAUUAGGAGUUACGGCAGAAAACACGACUGAGUUUGGCCCUUGGAUGGUUAUUGAAAGGCGUCCUCCUCGGAAUCUGAAUGAAAAUUGUAAAACGGCGGCUAAAAAUCCGAUUAGUGAUGAAGGUGGUUUAGAUUUAGGGCAUUAUUUUUGGGGUUAAUGAAAAAGGGGAAGGGAAUGUUUUGGGAGCUGAUUUUUCGGGGGUUAAAUUCAAGAAAGGAAAUUUCCUUAAAAGGUUUUGAACGGGAACAUGCUAAUUUGAAAAGAGAUGGUCUGUUGGGUCGAAAAAGGUUAAAGAGAGUGUAGACGAGCUGGGUUGUGGCAGCAUGAGUGGGUUUAAAAAGCAGGCUGAGUUUUUG